GCAACUUCCAUAAUAGGUCACAGCUAAAUUUCUCGCUAAUUUACAGGCAAGAGGCAAAGGGCCAUUAAUAACCGUUGUAGCCGGCCGAAAUACCCGUAAUUUCAGUUUUGGUAUCCAAGGCGCGCCUGGUAAAUAUUUGAAUGCGACACGACGUGGCAAACGAGAUUCGCAAGGGUAGAAGUCGAAACCGGUGAGCCGUAGGCCGAUUGUACUCGGUCGCUCUGUUACCGACGGAGUAGGCACGAAAAUACGACUAAAUCUUUAACGGGCCUGCCGAGUCGGAGAUCGACUCGGUCUAGCAUGAACAGUAAGACUCUCCUUUCCGUGCGCACCGCUUGCACGCCAGAACUUCCCAGUUUCGCGUUAAGUGUAAUAAUAUACGGUUUGUUGGAACCUCGCGUAUUUAAGACUCCAAGUAGCAGCGUGCCGUGUACGAGUUACUUCAACUUCGUCGUUUAAACUCGUUACAACGGUUUACUAGAUAACUCGAUACGUAAUGAGAUAUGUACUUACUUAUCUGCAGUUUUAGCUUGGGGGUUGAAAAAUGUGAUGUUAUUGAUUCCGGUUCACGAGGCAGUUUUAACAAAUGAUCAUUGCCUAUAAUUGUUACAAAGAAUGGAAAUGAAUGAAGUUGUCUGUUUUACGGUUCAAAUAAAUUUUGACGCGUUAAUGAAGUAUUAAUUUGAGGUUAGAGUUACUUCUGAAAAAUGUGUAAAAAGGAGGUGAACAAUCCUAUAAUUCUCGGUGCUGUCGUUAACUAACUUUUCGUAACACAUAUUUAUUUAUAUUUAUUAUAAUAACAACUUCGAACCGGUUUCAAAAUAUUGUUAUUUUAACUAUGGCGCUUUAUCCAAGUAAUUCUAUAAACAAACAGAUUAUCACAAACAUCGAAGAGACAAAUUUUUUAUCUAAAGAUUCCAAAGAGAUAUUUCCAAGGCACGAACACUACGAACGGUCCUACUAAAAGAAAUGACUAAGCCCUGUAAAUUAAGCCAGAGAAAACAACAUGAUUCGAACGUGAACGUUGUGGAAGCAGCGGUCCUUGAGGUCUUGACACGGUUGUAUGGAGAAGAGGCUUCGCUGCCAGAGGAAGUUCGUGAAGGAUCUAGAAACAGAUGAUGGGAGCCAUUGCUUAUCCAAGAAAAUAAUUUAAAAAUAUAUUAUGUCGCAUAUUUUAUCUAAUCGAGUGUAUUGUAAUUAUUCUGAUGGAAAUUACUAAUUUACAUGCAAACAUGAAGGUUGCUGUUGACUGACAUUUAAAGAGCAGAUCCGAUAGUACGUACCAUAACCAACAGCAGAGGCGGUCGCACAUCGAGUCACUUGGUCCAAACGCGGCAAAGAAUAACACGUAACUGAGACGGAAAGACAUCGACGAAAAUUAACCACGAACUUUACCUGUGAUGUUUACUUACCUACCUACGAAUCACGGCUGUCACCCGUGGCAGUCAUGUUUGGCCUGAGUUCCGUAGCACGACCUCAUAAUAUCGUAGGCGAAAAGCUUAAUAUUGUCUUAGAAACAAAUUACCAUAGUUUCCUGAAAAUAAAAUUUAUAUUACGUUCGGAUCAUUUAACGAAGAUACUUUGUAAGAUACUUGAACGAGUAAUGCACAAAGGAUUAUGAGGAAGACAAUGGAAAUAUUAGUCAGUGUGAUGGUAUGAAUACUGACGAAUAUUCGAGAAGAAAAUGUUACGGCUAAUGGAUUACAACAUGAACUGUAUUACACAGGCUGUUUAACUUGCGCCAGUUAUAAAUGAAGCAACUUCUCAGGAGUCAGUUUGGGGAAGAUAGCAAAUUCCGUGCUGCUGAAGUAACUUCUUCUGAACGCCGCUCUGAAAAGCAAACGAACAGUGAAAGAUGAUCCCUCCGUUAACUCUGACAGUGAACAGAUUUCAAGGGAAUCGAUGACAAGAAAAAUAAUUUUAUCCCUACUUUUGUGAAUAUUUUAGUCGAUAACCUCAAAAAUUAUUACUCUCACGAAGGGUGUUGU